UUCCGGUUGAUCCCGCCGGACCUGACUGCUAUCGGAUUGAUACUAAGCCAUGCGAGUCUUUGUAGUAAUACAAGGCAGACGGCUCAGUAACACGUAGUCAACCUACCCUAUGGACAAGAAUAAUCUCGGGAAACUGGGCAUAAUUCUUGAUAGAUCAUAAUGCCUGGAAUGGUUUAUGGUUAAAAUGAUUCGUCGCCAUAGGAUGGGACUGCGGCCUAUCAGCUUGUUGGUGAGGUAAUGGCCCACCAAGGCGAUUACAGGUACGGGCUCUGAGAGGAGAAGCCCGGAGAUGGGUACUGAGACACGGACCCAGGCCCUAUGGGGCGCAGCAGGCGAGAAAACUUUGCAAUGUGCGAAAGCACGACAAGGUUAAUCCGAGUGAUUUCUGCUAAAGAAAUCUUUUGCCAGUCAUAAAACCACUGGUGAAUAAGGGGUGGGCAAGUUCUGGUGUCAGCCGCCGCGGUAAAACCAGCACCUCAAGUGGUCAGGAUGAUUAUUGGGCCUAAAGCAUCCGUAGCCGGCUUUGUUAGUUUUCGGUUAAAUCCAUGUGCUCAACGCAUGGGCUGCCGAAAAUACUGCAUAGCUAGGGAGUGGGAGAGGUAGACGGUACUCAGUAGGAAGGGGUAAAAUCCUUUGAUCUAUUGAUGACCACCUGUGGCGAAGGCGGUCUACCAGAACACGUUCGACGGUGAGGGAUGAAAGCUGGGGGAGCAAACCGGAUUAGAUACCCGGGUAGUCCCAGCUGUAAACGAUGCAGACUCGAUGAUGCAUUGGCAUAAUAGCCAGUGCAGUGUCGCAGGGAAGCCGUUAAGUCUGCCGCCUGGGAAGUACGUACGCAAGUAUGAAACUUAAAGGAAUUGGCGGGGGAGCACCACAAGGGGUGAAGCCUGCGGUUCAAUUGGAAUCAACGCCGGA
rnacentral:rRNA from 1 species